rnacentral:rRNA from 1 species
UGCCAGCAGCCGCGGUAAUACAGAGGGUGCAAGCGUUGUUCGGAAUUAUUGGGCGUAAAGCGCACGUAGGCGGCUUGGUAAGUCAGAUGUGAAAGCCCGGGGCUCAACCCCGGAAGUGCAUCCGAAACUGCCUGGCUUGAGUCUUGGAGAGGGUGGUGGAAUUCCCAGUGUAGAGGUGAAAUUCGUAGAUAUUGGGAGGAACACCGGUGGCGAAGGCGACCACCUGGACAAUGACUGACGCUGAGGUGCGAAAGCGUGGGGAGCAAACAGGAUUAGAUA